GACGAGAAGACCCUAAAAGCUUUAAUAAAUUAUUUAUUUAAAAUUUUAUGUUUACAGAAUCUAUAAAUUAAUUAUAUUUACUGGGGUAGUAGUGUUAGAGAUAGUUUAGAUUUUAAAACUAGGUGGAUUUUAGGUCCUUUUUUAUGAGAGAAAAUUGAGUGAGUUACUUUAGGGAUAACAGCGUUAUAUCUUUGAGGAGACCUUAUCUAUAAAGGUGAUUACGACCUCGAUGUUGAAUUAAAAAAUCUUUGUGAGGUAGUGAGCAUAUAAGAGGGUUUGUUCAACCUUUAAUUUUUUACAUGAUCUGAGU
rnacentral:rRNA from 1 species